GGUGGGAUUAGCUAGUUGGUGAGGUAAGGGCUCACCAAGGCGACGAUCCCUAGCUGGUCUGAGAGGAUGAUCAGCCACACUGGAACUGAGACACGGUCCAGACUCCUACGGGAGGCAGCAGUGGGGAAUAUUGCACAAUGGGCGCAAGCCUGAUGCAGCCAUGCCGCGUGUGUGAAGAAGGCCUUCGGGUUGUAAAGCACUUUCAGUCGUGAGGAAGGUAGUGUAGUUAAUAGCUGCAUUAUUUGACGUUAGCGACAGAAGAAGCACCGGCUAACUCCGUGCCAGCAGCCGCGGUAAUACGGAGGGUGCGAGCGUUAAUCGGAAUUACUGGGCGUAAAGCGCAUGCAGGUGGUUUGUUAAGUCAGAUGUGAAAGCCCGGGGCUCAACCUCGGAAUUGCAUUUGAAACUGGCAGACUAGAGUACUGUAGAGGGGGGUAGAAUUUCAGGUGUAGCGGUGAAAUGCGUAGAGAUCUGAAGGAAUACCGGUGGCGAAGGCGGCCCCCUGGACAGAUACUGACACUCAGAUGCGAAAGCGUGGGGAGCAAACAGGAUUAGAUACCCUGGUAGUCCACGCCGUAAACGAUGUCUACUUGGAGGUUGUGGCCUUGAGCCGUGGCUUUCGGAGCUAACGCGUUAAGUAGACCGCCUGGGGAGUACGGUCGCAAGAUUAAAACUCAAAUGAAUUGACGGGGGCCCGCACAAGCGGUGGAGCAUGUGGUUUAAUUCGAUGCAACGCGAAGAACCUUACCUACUCUUGACAUCCAGAGAACUUUCCAGAGAUGGAUUGGUGCCUUCGGGAACUCUGAGA
rnacentral:rRNA from 1 species